CCUACGGGAGGCAGCAGUGGGGAAUAUUGCACAAUGGGCGAAGCCCUGAUGCAGCGACGCCGCGUGAGUGAAGAAGUACCUCGGUAUGUAAAGCUCUAUCAGCAGGGAAGAAAAUGACGGUACCUGUCUAAGAAGCCCCGGCUAACUACGUGCCAGCAGCCGCGGUAAUACGGAGGGGGCAAGCGUUAUCCGGAUUUACUGGGUGUAAAGGGAGCGUAGACGGCAGCACAAGUCUGGAGUGAAAUCCCCGGGCUUAACCCCGGAACUGCUUUGGAAACUGGGCGGCUGGAGUGCAGGAGGGGUAAGCGGAAUUCCUAGUGUAGCGGUGAAAUGCGUAGAUAUUAGGAGGAACACCGGUGGCGAAGGCGGCUUACUGGACUGUAACUGACGUUGAGGCUCGAAAGCGUGGGGAGCAAACAGGAUUAGAUACCCUUGUAGUC
rnacentral:rRNA from 1 species